rnacentral:rRNA from 1 species
UACGGGAGGCAGCAGUGAGGAAUAUUGGUCAAUGGACGAAAGUCUGAACCAGCCAAGUAGCGUGAAGGAUGACUGCCCUAUGGGUUGUAAACUUCUUUUGUUUGGGAAUAAAGUGAGGCACGUGUGCCUUUUUGUAUGUACCUUACGAAUAAGCAUCGGCUAAUUCCGUGCCAGCAGCCGCGGUAAU